rnacentral:rRNA from 1 species
UACGUAUGUCGCAAGCGUUAUCCGGCUUUAUUGGGCGGAAGGCGCGUCUAGGCGGUUUAGUAAGUCUGAUGUGAAAAUGCGGGGCUCAACCCCGUAUUGCGUUGGAAACUGCUAAACUAGAGUACGGGAGAGGUAGGCGGAACUACAAGUGUAGAGGUGAAAUUCGUAGAUAUUUGUAGGAAUGCCGAUGGGGAAGACAGCCUACUGGACACAUACUGACGCUCAAGGGCGAAAG